rnacentral:pre_miRNA from 1 species
GGCAUUGAUAUGUGGGUUGGAAUAUGCGAGAAUCUGGGAGAAGCGUAACAUGCC